rnacentral:misc_RNA from 1 species
GUGAGAGCAUGCAUGAUGAUGGCGGCUUGGUGUUUGCCUACUACAAGGACGGAGCCACCGACCCAACCUUCCUUUACUUCUCUCAUGGGCUGAAGGAGGUCAAGUGCUGAGCGGUUCCUUCUGCUCGACACUGAUGUUUUAUCUAUGCAGUCCGCCGUAUUUUUGGUCUAGUCUAUGGUUGUCAGUUGACUCGAUAUGGUCUAAUGUUG